GACGAACGCUGGCGGCGUGCUUAACACAUGCAAGUCGAACGAUGAAGCCUGUAACUUGUUGUGGGUGGAUUAGUGGCGAACGGGUGAGUAAUACGUGAGUAACCUGCCCUCCUUUUUGGGAUAAGCCUUGGAAACGGGGUCUAAUACCGGAUAUUCUGGCAUGCUCGCAUGGGUGUGUUGGGAAAGCUUUAUGUGAAGGGGGAUGGGCUCGCGGCCUAUCAGCUUGUUGGUGGGGUGAUGGCCUACCAAGGCGGUGACGGGUAGCCGGCCUGAGAGGGUGACCGGCCACAUUGGGACUGAGAUACGGCCCAGACUCCUACGGGAGGCAGCAGUGGGGGAUAUUGCACAAUGGGCGAAAGCCUGAUGCAGCGACGCCGCGUGGGGGAUGAAGGCUUUCGGGUUGUAAACCUCUUUCGCUAUCGAACAAGGCUCAUUUUUUGGUGGGUUGAGGGUAGGUGGAGAAGAAGCGCCGGCUAACUACGUGCCAGCAG
rnacentral:rRNA from 1 species